rnacentral:rRNA from 1 species
GCGCGAAACCUCCGCAAUGUGAGAAAUCGCGACGGGGGGAUCCCAAGUGCUAUUCUUAACGGGAUGGCUUUUCUUAAGUGUAAAAAGCUUUUGGAAUAAGAGCUGGGCAAGACCGGUGCCAGCCGCCGCGGUAACACCGGCAGCUCUAGUGGUAGCUGUUUUUAUUGGGCCUAAAGCGUUCGUAGCCGGUUUGAUAAGUCUUUGGUGAAAUCCUGUAGCUUAACUAUGGGAAUUGCUGAGGAUACUGUCAGGCUUGAGGUCGGGAGAGGUUAGCGGUACUCCCAGGGUAGGGGUGAAAUCCUGUAAUCCUGGGAGGACCACCUGUGGCGAAGGCGGCUAACUGGAACGAACCUGACGGUGAGGGACGAAAGCUAGGGGCGCGAACCGG